GACGAACGCUGGCGGCGUGCUUAACACAUGCAAGUCGAACGGAAAGGCCCUGCUUUUGUUGGGUGCUCGAGUGGCGAACGGGUGAGUAACACGUGAGUAACCUGCCCUUGACUUUGGGAUAACUUCAGGAAACUGGGGCUAAUACCGGAUAGGAGCUCCUGCUGCAUGGUGGGGGUUGGAAAGUUUCGGCGGUUGGGGAUGGACUCGCGGCUUAUCAGCUUGUUGGUGGGGUAGUGGCUUACCAAGGCUUUGACGGGUAGCCGGCCUGAGAGGGUGACCGGCCACAUUGGGACUGAGAUACGGCCCAGACUCCUACGGGAGGCAGAAGUGGGGAAUAUUGCACAAUGGGCGGAAGCCUGAUGCAGCAACGCCGCGUGCGGGAUGACGGCUUUCGGGUUGUAAACCGCUUUCGCCUGUGACGAAGCGUGAGUGACGGUAAUGGGUAAAGAAGCACCGGCUAACUACGUG
rnacentral:rRNA from 1 species